UAGCAGUUCUAGCACGCACACUUCACAUACACAAAUCUGGCUAGGCCAUAUUUGACGUUUAAAACGAAUUCUGCUCGUAACUCGACUUUAAAAGACAGUUUGUGUGGGUUAUUUUUUUUCUACUCUCUACGGGGGAAUCUUACUCGGCGUGUUCAAUUUUUCAUCCGAGUACUGUGUGCCUCUGCGAACUGAUGGAACUUUGACUGGGGUCUUCACUUUUCCCCAAGGCCGUUGACCACCGAACGACUCACCGAAACUGACAAAAAUGUUCAAAAUAUUCAAAGGAUGCAAUCGUCAGGUCGAGUAUGUGGAUAAGCGUCACUGUUCGUUACCUAGCGUCCCCGAAGAUCUCUGGCGUUAUUCAAGAAGUCUAGAAGAGCUACUGCUUGAUGCCAAUCAUAUUAGAGACUUGCCCAAGAAUUUCUUCAGGCUUGCAAAGUUGCGAAAGCUUAGUC